CUACACUUUCUUUGUUUGUAAUCGCCUGUAUUUUGGGGAUUGAUUAUUUUGCUGAAAGUUCUUCUACAUAUACAUACAUCUCAAUUAUUCUUUAGUUUUCUCAAAAAGAUGUAUAAGCUUAGUUAAUGAUGGCGAGUUCUUAAGGAAAUCAAAAAAGAAACGAAGAUGAAGAAGCAACAGUGGAAUUUUGGAAAUUUGAAGAUGAGCUGAAGAGAAGGGAAAAAGAAGUGAUUGGGUUUCUUUUGACUAUUCAGGGAUUGUUGUUUUAUUCUACCAACAUAUAAGGCAUUAUGAACUCUGAUGUACCUAAGCUGUUUGAUAGUAUGCCGACCCGAGACAACUGACAACUCUUUUACUACCUUGUUUUUGUCAUAAAAUUUCUACGACCUACUUCUCUUUCAGUCAAUGAUCUAAAAGAGGACCUUCAAUAGUCAUAGGAUUAGCACAAGGCAAACCAAAUGCACGACAACAUAGUUUCCAUCAUACAAGAUAUAUUAGAAUACUAGCAGGGAAUGUCUGCGCAAUGCACGAACGGUCCACAGUGAGCCAAUUGAAAUAGGAAAUUCUCACACGAUGACACGGUAUGACUUGCGGGUAAGUUGCCAAAGGUCUGUGAAACAAUUGUAGGUACAACAACAAACAAGUGAAAAAAUAUGAAUUGUAGUAGUAGGAUUAGAAUGCAGGGAAUUGGAAAAAUCCUUAUUGCUGUGAACUUUUUAGUGAUCUUUUUCUUUACUAAAUAAAUUAGGAUUACUAGA